UACGAAGGGGGCUAGCGUUGCUCGGAAUCACUGGGCGUAAAGGGUGCGUAGGCGGGUCUUUAAGUCAGGGGUGAAAUCCUGGAGCUCAACUCCAGAACUGCCUUUGAUACUGAGGAGCUUGAGUUCGGGAGAGGUGAGUGGAACUGCGAGUGUAGAGGUGAAAUUCGUAGAUAUUCGCAAGAACACCAGUGGCGAAGGCGGCUCACUGGUCCGGUACUGACGCUGAGGUGCGAAAGCGUGGGGAGCAAACAGG
rnacentral:rRNA from 1 species